rnacentral:rRNA from 1 species
UGGGGAAUCUUCCGCAAUGGACGAAAGUCUGACGGAGCGACGCCGCGUGAGUGAAGAAGGCCUUCGGGUCGUAAAGCUCUGUCAUCAGGGACGAACGGCCGGUGGAGUGGAAAGCCACCGGAUUGACGGUACCUGAGAAGGAAGCCACGGCUAACUACGUGCCAGCAGCCGCGGUAAUACGUAGGUGGCAAGCGUUGUCCGGAAUUAUUGGGCGUAAAGCGCGCGCAGGUGGGAUCUUAAGUCCAUUUUGAAAGUUCGGAGCUCAACUCCGUGAUGGGAUGGAAACUGGGAUUCUUGAGUACCGGAGAGGAAAGCGGAAUUCCCCGUGUAGCGGUGAAAUGCGUAGAUAUGGGGAGGAACACCAGUGGCGAAGGCGGCUUUCUGGACGGUGUCUGACACUGAGGCGCGAAAGCUAGGGGAGCGAACG